rfam:Gossypium arboreum cultivar AKA8401 contig_1073_7, whole genome shotgun sequence.
AACCCUUGGUGAGGGCAUAUUCGUAAAAGGUCCUUGUAUCUCUCCUAUGUAUCGUAGAGUGUUUCAAAAUCCAUCUGUACAAAAGAGGAGAUAUCAUUACGUAAUUU